CACGUAGGGCGCAAGCGUUGUCCGGAAUUAUUGGGCGUAAAGAGCUCGUAGGCGGUCCGUCACGUCCGCUGUGAAACCCAGGGCUCAACCCUGGGCUUGCAGUGGAUACGGGCAGACUAGAGGUAGGUAGGGGAGAAUGGAAUUCCCGGUGUAGCGGUGAAUGCGCAGAUAUCGGGAGGAACACCGGUGGCGAAGGCGGUUCUCUGGGCCUUACCUGACGCUGAGGAGCGAAAGCGUGGGAGCGAACAGG
rnacentral:rRNA from 1 species